GUGCUCUGCCGAUCUACGACCUUCCCCGAUAGAGGAGGACCGUUCUUUGGUCAAGGGUAUACGAGUAGCUGUGCUCCCCUGCUAGAACCUCCAAACAAGCUCUCAAGGUCCAUUUGUAGGAGAACGUAGGGUAGUCAAGCUUCCAAAACUCCAGAAAA